AUGGUACUUUCCGCCCCGCGCACGGGCAAUGGUACGCUCCUCCCCCCCCGCCGCAGGGGUGGUACAGCCCAAGGAUUUAUAAGCGGCCGCCAGGGCCGCGCGCGUUCUUUUCGCGCGCUGGCUGAGGUGGGGAGUGCGGCGCAGAGUUUGGUAUUUCCAGAGAAAUGUGACACCUUUAGCAUGGGGAGCAGGCAGCUCUCUGAAAAUGGCGCUAAUGUGAAGGUGUUCAUGCUGUGA
ensembl:lncRNA